rnacentral:rRNA from 1 species
AUCUUGCGCAAUGCACGAAAGUGUGACGCAGCAACGCCGCGUGAGGGAAGAAGGCCUUCGGGUCGUAAACCUCUUUCAGGAGGGACGAAGUCUCGUCGGUUAAUAGCCGGCUGGGAUGACGGUACCUCCAGAAGAAGCCCCGGCUAACUACGUGCACGCAGCCGCGGUAAUACGUAGGGGGCAAGCGUUGUCCGGAAUCAUUGGGCGGAAAGUGCGUGUAGGCGGUUUGAUAAGUCCGCUCUGAAAGUCCGGGGCUCAACCCCGGAAGGCGGGUGGAUACUGUCAGACUAGAGUGCGGAAGAGGCGAGUGGAAUUCCCGGUGUAGCGGUGAAAUGCGCAGAUAUCGGGAGGAACACCAAUUGCGAAGGCAGCUCGCUGGGACGUUACUGACGCUGAGACGCGAAAGCGUGGGGAGCAAAC